AUCCUGGCUCAGAUUGAACGCUGGCGGCAUGCUUUACACAUGCAAGUCGAACGGCAGCGCGGGGCAACCUGGCGGCGAGUGGCGAACGGGUGAGUAAUAUAUCGGAACGUACCCAAGAGUGGGGGAUAACGUAGCGAAAGUUACGCUAAUACCGCAUACGAUCUAAGGAUGAAAGCAGGGGACCGCAAGGCCUUGUGCUCCUGGAGCGGCCGAUAUCUGAUUAGCUAGUUGGUAGGGUAAAGGCCUACCAAGGCUACGAUCAGUAGCUGGUCUGAGAGGACGACCAGCCACACUGGAACUGAGACACGGUCCAGACUCCUACGGGAGGCAGCAGUGGGGAAUUUUGGACAAUGGGCGCAAGCCUGAUCCAGCAAUGCCGCGUGAGUGAAGAAGGCCUUCGGGUUGUAAAGCUCUUUUGGCAGGGAAGAAACGGUGAAGGCUAAUAUCCUUUGCUAAUGACGGUACCUGAAGAAUAAGCACCGGCUAACUACGUGCCAGCAGCCGCGGUAAUACGUAGGGUGCAAGCGUUAAUCGGAAUUACUGGGCGUAAAGCGUGCGCAGGCGGUUUUGUAAGUCUGAUGUGAAAUCCCCGGGCUCAACCUGGGAAUUGCAUUGGAGACUGCAAGGCUAGAAUCUGGCAGAGGGGGGUAGAAUUCCACGUGUAGCAGUGAAAUGCGUAGAGAUGUGGAGGAACACCGAUGGCGAAGGCAGCCCCCUGGGUCAAGAUUGACGCUCAUGCACGAAAGCGUGGGGAGCAAACAGGAUUAGAUACCCUGGUAGUCCACGCCCUAAACGAUGUCUACUAGUUGUCGGGUUUUAAUUAACUUGGUAACGC
rnacentral:rRNA from 1 species